GGUAUACCCCCCCUCCCCCUCCCAUUCCCAUUUCCCCUUUCAGUAAAAAACCCUACCCUCUUCCCUGCCUCUCUCUCUUCCCCGUUCUACGCAACCCUAGCGCCGCCUUGAUAUUUCCACCUUCUCUCUCUGCCAAAAAUGCCAAAUCUGCAGAGUGUAUCAGACGAAUACAACUAUUACAUGUCUAUUAUGGUGAAAACAUUUAAUGUUUCAUUCAAAUUCGCGAUUUUGAAUUCAACACGGAAUGCAGAGUAUCAGGUCGGAUCCACUUCCGUGACACGUGGUUGAUCGUCACUUCAGCUUUCUCUUUGAGUUUCCAGGGUGAGCAUGGUCGUCCGCUGCCUUGAAGACUUUCUAUCUUUAUGUCCUAUUCUAUUCAGAGACAAAAACACUUUAUGUAUUAGUAUCCCAGAUUGUAUUAUUUACCUUUAGAUGCUCUUGUGUUAUUCAGACUAGACCCUGGGGGUGUUUAUCGUCA